AAUAAAAUUUCAUUCUCCUUAAUAAAGUAAUAAAUUUAAGAAUGCAAGGCGUAGGUUACGCCUUCUACCGCCCUCUGUCGGAAAUCGGCAGGAAGUCAUCGACCGUGAGCUGUCUGAUCCUGGAUCGGCCUUCCUCGCCAUCUAGCGUGGGAUAGCUGCACUCUUGUAUUCCUCUAUGGACUUACGUGGAUCAUAGUUGCCAUUUUGAAAAAUAGAAGUAAAUCGUCAUCGGGCGUUUGCCUUCCUUCCUUUUAUUCGUAACCAGACUUAAUUAUGGGUUUUUUUUUAAGCUCCGCGUUAAUCGUGAAGAGUUUAGUAUUAUAUUUUAUUGUUGACUUAAUUUCCAUUGAACGUCCGGAGCCGGCUGUUUGCGGUGCGAGCCGAUUUGGGCUUGGCAACACUAGUCCCGUCCAAAAUGGCGAAUGAGAUGGGAUUUCUUUUUGCCGGAGAGAGAGAUGAAGGGAUAUCGUUGGCCCAAGCCAAAAUCGGGCGCAAUCGCCCGUUUGAGUGAGUUUCAAUAGUGAUUCGGUUGUGUAUUUCUUUUUAGUUGGUUAGUUUCUAACGAAGCGUUGCAUAUUUUCCAGCCCCGGAAUCGGACGUGAAUAAAACCAUGUUCUGAUGGUGAUAGGCGACGCCCAGCGUGCCCGGAUGUCGAAAUAGGUGCAAUUUUGCCCUCUGCUGGCCCUUUCUCCAUCAACGGGUUCACGCCGCGUCGCCUAAACCUCGCGCCGGCCGCGAGAGAUCCCCCUGGUGUUCCGGUAACUUGUGGGCAGCAGAUUGCUGCUGUUCUACCUACUCCCGACGUUUCACCCCAAGGCUGCUGACGUGGCAGUUGUGGUGUUUCGAGGUCAGAUCUUUCCACGUUUACUUAUUGACUGAAUGAACCGGCCUUUCGGUUCUGGCGCCCUUCCGUGUAACUACCUUAAUAUAUAUUGACCGCUGUAUCCGUUUCUACCAGUAAUGAUAAUUUAGAGCUCGCUGACCCACGUUUGUUCCCUUAAAAUAUAAACUCAACAUUAUUGUUCUCGUGAGCUAGCCCUCGGCAAACAAUUGUUACCGUGUAUCUAUGAUAACAAAUUAGCAUAACCAAUGUAGAUUUUUAUUCCUGAAUUCAAAUAAAUACCUGGUUCCCCUUCAA
rnacentral:lncRNA from 1 species